AUGACAAAAAGCUGUACAAAAAAACAAGUAGAGACAUAGAAGGUAACUUUCAUGGACAGUGAAUACUGUUUACACAGAUGUAGCAUAAAUAUCCUUUACUGAUUUUCAAAAAUACAGUCCACCUGUAGGCAAAGCAAGAAUUGCUUAACUAUAGUUACAGAACAGGUUGUAAAUGUGAAGCAUGAUAGUGUAAUAAAGGAACCAAAGAUGAAGACAAGGGUAAGGGAUACAAAAUUCUUAUCUGGCAAAGUGAAGAGGGAUUGUUUAUAUUGAAGCAAGAACUGUGAGUUACAUUAUUUAAAGUUGCAAAUGUAAUAAGUGCAAUGCUGACUAGUGAUAUAAUUUAUUAGCUGUUAUGAGUAGGGAAAAUUUGUGGUGGUUUAAUGUAGUUAAAUCUUUAUCUAUCUUGGCAGGAAGUGAGUAUGCAACAUCUAAGAUUGAGACAUCAAAAAUUCACAGCAUGAGCAGAUUGUUUACAGAUGGGGUAACUAAAAACAAUGAGACACUUACUGUUUGCCAAACACAUGUAAAUGAAACGACUUUACUGAAGAUUUGAGGACAUGAGAUAUUUUCUAUCACCACAGUGCCAGAUUUAAAAUUGAAUAUUAGAGAAACUUGUUCUUAAAACUUUUUGCUAGGCACUUUAUGCCAACCAUGUUGCUACCCUCUUCUGUCCAUUCCUCUUACAUUCUCAUUCUCUAACAACUUUUUCAGUCGUCUCACACCCAUACACAGUCUUGUUUGUUGGUGUUAUGGGGAACUCACAAAUGGAGCCAUAAAGAAGAAAUAUGACCUCUCCUGUGUUUCACCUCCAGUGGGGUUGACGGGAGGUCCCAGGAUUUCUGUGAAGGGGAUUUGUAGUUUUGGAGUUCCAGAUGGUGACAACUCGAGCAGCAAGCCUGAUGAGCAUAUUGAGCAGACUACUAAGAACAGGAAUGAAAAACAAACAAACAACGACAACAACAAAAAACACCCUUCUCUUUCUCACCUGUACCAGAAUAGUGGCUCUGAACCAAGGCUGCAUAUUAGAAUCACCCAAGGAGCUUUUAAAAACAUCGAUGCCCAGGCACCACCUCUUCCCCUUUUGAUGCUCUUCCUUCCAACUCCCACCACUACCAAAUAAAUUGAAAAUCUAGUGAAGGGACCUCAGUCCCAUGAUUCAAAUCAUUAAUAUAAAAGUCACCUGCAAUUUCUGCACAAUUGAUUGAAUUGGGCAAAACAGAUUAGAGCAUUGAACCACUUUGUCGACGAUUUUCAAACUGAUAUUCUAAGGAAGAGAACUUGCUCCUUAGAAUUUUGCAUUGGCUGUUCCUUCUGCCUGGGACACUUUCCCUUCCUAUAUGCAUAGCUUACUACCUCACCUCCUCAAUGAGACUGACCUGCCCUCCAGGCGCCAAAAUGGCACUUCCAAGCUCACUCUGCUCUACUUUCUUUUUAUCAUAGCACUUAUCAGUGUCUAACAUAGAAUUUGCCCACUUCUUGUACCUAUUGUGUAAUGUUUGUUUCCACCCACUAGAAUGUAAACAAAUAUGAUCAGGUAUUUUUCAUUUCAUUCACUGAUGAAACUUAAGUGUCUAGAACAAUACCGAACAUGACUGAGCACUCAAUAAAUACUCGUUGAAUUUCA